rnacentral:rRNA from 1 species
AUGGCCGGGGGCGGCGAGGGCGCGGCGGGCGGGACGGGGGAGAUGCGGUCGCUGGCGCUCACGCCCACCUGGUCCGUCGCCACCGUGCUCACCCUCCUCGUCGCCGCCUCGCUCAUCGUCGAGCGCUCCAUCCACCGCCUCAGCAACUGGUUGAAGAAGACUCACCGGAACCCGCUCCACAAGGCAAUGGAGAAGAUGAAAGAAGAAAUGAUGUUGCUCGGCUUCAUAUCCCUGCUUUUAGCGGCGACGUCGAGGAUGAUCUCCGGUAUCUGCAUCGACUCCAAGUACUACAACAGCAGGUUCUCCCCGUGCACCAAAGAGGAGGUGGAGGAUUCAUUGAGCACCGAGCACAUGCUGACUCGCAAGCGCAACCACAUAAUCGAUGCCAUCCUGCAUCGUUCUCUCAGGAGGAACCUUAAGGCGCAGUCCCAUCAGGUGGAGAGCUGCCACGAGGGCUUCGAGUCGUUUGUUUCACAUGAGGGUCUGGAGCAGCUCCACCGCUUCAUAUUUGUCAUGGCGGUAACCCAUGUGACUUACAGUUGCUUGACGAUGUUGCUAGCUAUACUCAAGGUCCAUACAUGGAGAAAAUGGGAGGAUGAAGCAUUUAGAGAUAAUCACGAAUCUUUUUCCCAGAUUGCGUAUGCAUCAGCAACUAGAAGGCAACCACCAGCACUUACCAAAUCCUCUUCAUUCAGAUUUUGGAGUCAAAAUAAUGCGGUCAUGUGGGUGUUUUGCUUCCUCGCACAAUUUGGCCAAUCUGUUGUUCGAGCCGACUACCUUAUCCUUCGCAAGGGUUUCAUAAUGAACCACAAUCUUGCACCAACAUACGACUUCCACACUUAUAUGAUACGCUCCAUGGAAGAGGAGUUUGAGAAGAUUGUUGGAGUGAGUGGAGUGCUGUGGGGCUUCGUUGUUGCUUUCAUGCUAUUUAAUGUUGAUGGAUCUAACCUCUACUUUUGGAUAGCCAUCCUCCCUGUUGCUCUUGUUCUUCUAGUCGGUGCGAAACUGCAGCAUAUAAUAGCGAUUUUAACAUCAGAGGGUGCAAAGCUGACUGCAUUUGGACCAAGGAUAAAGCCACGCGAUGAUCUCUUUUGGUUCAAGAAACCAAAGUUUCUCCUGUGGUUGAUUCAUUUUGUUCUCUUCCAGAAUGCAUUCGAGCUGGCCUCUUUCUUCUGGUUCUGGUGGCAAUUUGGUUAUGAGUCAUGCUUCAUCAAAAACCACCUAUUGGUUUACUGCCGCCUUGUAUUGGGGUUUGCCGGACAGUUCCUCUGCAGUUACAGUACGUUGCCCGUUUAUGCGCUUGUCACGCAGAUGGGAUCAAAGUACAAAGCCGCCCUGAUCCCCAACAGGAUCAGAGAAACCAUGCACGGGUGGGGCAAGGACACAAGGAAGAGGAGGAAGAAGCGGCGCGGCGACGAUUCCACCAUCCGCACAGAGACCAGCACCGUGUGCUCCCUCGACUACGAGGACGAAGACGACGACGGCCAUGGCCAUUCCGAUUAUGCCACGACACCCAGGUUGCCGCCAUACCUCAAGAUCGAGCUGCGUCCCAUGCAGGGCGGCGGUGCCACUCCGGGACAGGGCAUGCCAAGCCACCAUCUUCCGACGGGCGGCAGCAACUGGACCCCCGGCGGCAGCUCUCAGCAUGCGCUGCUCCAGCGACAGGGCUCGGCCUCAGCCUCCGCGCCGUCGUCACCGCCACCGAGCAGCCAUGACCGUGGCGUCUCAAGGUCAGCGUCGAUGCCGGGGAUUGCUUCUGUGGCAACGAUAGCCUCGACGAUAGGCCUUAGUACCCCACCGCCUCGGCUCAACGAUGACGCCCAUGCAUAG